GACGAACGCUGGCGGCGUGCUUAACACAUGCAAGUCGAACGGGCCUGUCUUCUUUUUUGGGGGUGGGUUGAGUGGCGAACGGGUGAGUAUCACGUGAGUAACCUGCCCUUCGGUCCUGGAUAACCGCUUGAAAGGGCGGCUAAUACGGGGUGGUCCGGUUGGUCCGCAUGGGCUGGUCGGGAUAGAUUCACUGUUUUUGGUGUUUCGGCGGGGGAUGGGCUCGCGGCCUAUCAGCUUGUUGGUGGGGUUAUGGCCUACCAAGGCGGUGACGGGUAGCCGGCCUGAGAGGGUGGGCGGCCACACUGGGACUGAGAUACGGCCCAGACUCCUGCGGGAGGCAGCAGUGGGGGGUAUUGCACAAUGGGCGGAAGCCUGAUGCAGCGACGUCGCGUGAGGGAUGGAGGCCUUCGGGUUGUGAACCUCUGUUUCCGGUGGUGAAGGCCCUGUCCGUGUGGUGGGGUUGACGGUAGCCGGGGAUGAAGCGCCGGCUAACUACGUG
rnacentral:rRNA from 1 species